rnacentral:lncRNA from 1 species
CGUAUCUGGCUUCCCCAGGUCAUAUCGGUAAGAGAUUGUGAAUACUGCGCAUUCAUCUUAUUCUGGCACGCCAUCUCAAGCUGGUCUACUCGUGACUGAAUAACAGCCAUUGCUGAAGCCUUAUUCUGAUGUUGUGAUAUGUACAUUGAAGAAAAAGGAAACUCCGUGAUUAGGAUGAAAGUUGGCAAUUCUUAGUUCCAAAUAUAAAAAACGAAAAUGUGUUUUAACACCUCUCAUUUUGACAAGUAGCAGUAAUUCCUGUAGGAAUGUGAACAAUCCUCACAGCACUAUCGGUUGUAUUUGCGUGCUGGCCUCCAGCUCCCCCAGAACGAAAUCGCUCAAUGCGCAGAUCAGAUUCAUUAAUUUGUACAUGCUC